rnacentral:rRNA from 1 species
AACGAACGCUGGCGGCAGGCCUAACACAUGCAAGUCGAACGAAGUCUUCGGACUUAGUGGCGCACGGGUGAGUAACACGUGGGAAUAUACCUUACGCUGGGGGAUAACAUCGGGAAACUGAUGCUAAUACCGCAUACGCCCUUCGGGGGAAAGAUUUAUCGGCGAAAGAUUAGCCCGCGUCCGAUUAGCUAGUUGGUGAGGUAAUGGCCCACCAAGGCUCCGAUCGGUAGCUGGUCUGAGAGGAUGACCAGCCACACUGGGACUGAGACACGGCCCAGACUCCUACGGGAGGCAGCAGUGGGGAAUAUUGGACAAUGGGCGCAAGCCUGAUCCAGCCAUGCCGCGUGAGUGAUGAAGGCCUUAGGGUUGUAAAGCUCUUUCACCCACGACGAUGAUGACGGUAGUGGGAGAAGAAGCCCCGGCUAACUUCGUG